CUUUAAUCCGGCCCACCUCCUCCUCCUUUCAAACUGAACUGAAUCUUUUUCGUCACAUGGACUGAGUGUGCAACCUCAGUGGUCAGGGAUGAGGGCUCUCCUCUUUGGCUGUAUCAAGCACACGCUCAAUUAGCAUCGCAUGUCUGCUGAGGAUGACCAUGGGAUGCAGUUAAAAGCUCAAGAAAAAGCUAAGUUCUUCCACUCAAAAAGAUGACUAAGAGAAAUCAAACAGCAUUUAAUUGAUUUAAAGAGGAUGAAACAUUUCACCCUGUGGCCUUCGUCAUGAUAUGAUCUUCAGUUGCUCACGGAAAAAAGCUAUAAAUUUAUGUUGCUGAUCAUUUUAUCUUGUAUUAACAAUUGCCUUUGUGUUUGUUCGAGGCAGAGUGUCACUUUCAUCACAAUGGAAAUUAAAAAACAUGUAGCAUGCCAUGAUUUUAAUGCAAAAAUAGCAUCAACAGAAGGUGAAAGCAGCCAUUAUUAUUGGAGCAGCACUCAGGAGGUCCAGUUUGUAAACAUUUUCUGCAGCAAUUUCCGCCAUAAAUUGGAAGAAAGCCAAAUAAACCCUGUAAUACACCCGCUGCACAGGCACACGAUCCAGAUUUUAUGCACAAUAACACCAAACUCUCCAUGUAGACAAAAUCUGGCUCAGUCAACAGCCUUUUAUACCCAAUACACUGGCAAUUAAUUGCAAUUUCAUGUUCACGUGUUUAUCUUAUAUCCAAAAAAAAGUAGUGCAUUUGCUCACAGUUUCAUAUGAACUGUGGUCCACUUUUUUACAGCUCUGUGACUCCUACUUUGUUGCACAUUAAUCAACAUUUAGGCCAGAAUAGGGACAGUGUAAAUGAAAGUCAAUUUAACAUGAAUUCAGCUGCACCUACUUUAAAGUCAACCCCUAGUAGAGCGUUUGGAGCAAUUAAAAGAACAUUCUGCGUUGCUUUAAGUCCCAUUUAAAACCCUCACAUGGCAACAUUUACUGUGUGCAUCGAGUUUAAUCUCAUCAAAUUGUGUAAUCCAUGAGAUGAAAUCACUCUAAACAUUACACGGCUUAACACGGAUGGAGAGGGUCACAAAGUGUUAACGCCAUGUACUUCUAACCAUUUAACGUAUUCCUCAACCGCCAGUCUGACAGGAGUACAGAAACACUAUUGUUUCAUUCAUUUAAAUGAGAUUCCAUGACUGUUGUUGUCGCAGAUGAAUUAUGUAUGUGUUGGUGUGCUGAUAUGUGAUAGACAUUGCCUCCCUGGGAAUGUAGGACACAUACUUAUGCAUAACAAUAGUCUUCAGUUAUAUUCUCACCGACAAAUUUUGCCGUUUAUCUGUUAUGUUCUGUUUUUUCAUAAAAGAAACUCUAUUUUGUUUAUCUGCUGCUUAUUUUAUGCAACUGCUGUUGAAAAAAAAAUCAGGUCCAUAUAUUCUACUUUACCAAACGGUUACUGUUGCCCCAAUACUUUCACUAAUCCUUAUUUCCUAAAACACAAAGUCAUAUGCCUGUCAGUGACAUAGUGCAGCUGAUAAUAACAUAACCUAUUUAAAAUCACCCUGAUAGGCUUGUUUCAACGGUUUAAAUCAUGAAUUGUUCAUGAUAAACAUAUCUUGAUGUUUUGUUGCAUGCCUUUCUUCUUCUCCAGACAAUAAUUGACAUUUUGGUCUGUUCCCACUAAGCCUGAUGUAUUAGUCUGACUCAAAAAAAAAAAAAAAAGAUCACUGUCCAUAAAUGUUCUGGUUUACUUAGGAUUAAACAAAUGAAGGAGCUAUAAUAAUUAGGGAUGCAUCAAAAUGUUGUUUAGCAGGCAAGCAACAAAUAUUACACAGCAUGUUAUCACCAAUAAAGAGCAUUUUUUACUUCAAAUGCUGGUGCAAAACAGAUUCUCUGUGAUUAUACAAAGGCUUUUAAGCUUUAGUUACUUAUUUGAUAGUUGUGUUAAUCGAGGUAUUCCUGAGUGGAUUUUUCUUUCAAAGAUUUCAUCCUCUUUAUCCCUCUUUUACAAUAAAAUCUUAACUCAACCCCUCUGUUUUUUUAUAACUCUAUUUAUGUCUUUUUAAAAUCAUGUUGUUUGUACUUUAAUAAUCCUAAUGGGCAAUUUCAGUGUUACAGCAGCAAGGUCACAUAAAUCCUGAAGCAAAUGAGGCAGCAAAAUACAAUAAAAAGUCAUAAACAAUAACAUGAAAUAAAUAAAUAAAAACCUAAAUGAACCAAAUAAUCUUAUUGAAUACAAUGUACAAUGAUAAAGCCCAGUAAUAUACUGCAAUACAGUAUGUUAUUAGGCAAUAAAGACUUAUUUAAGAUUUAUUACAAGGCUGCCAAUGUUUUAGAAAAAAAUGUCAUUUAAUUAUUUGAUUAUUUUACCAUGUUUGAUUAAAGGCUAUAAUUUGACACACAGCUUCAGUAUAUUUUGACCAAAAAAAAUGUUGAUUGUGACACAUUUUUGAGUAUCCUAACUUCUCGUGUCACAUUAUUGUCAGCACUUAAACAGUAAAGAAAGCCUAUUGUAGUUUUAAA